rnacentral:rRNA from 1 species
AUUGAACGCUGGCGGCAGGCCUAACACAUGCAAGUCGAGCGGAUGAAGGGAGCUUGCUCCUGGAUUCAGCGGCGGACGGGUGAGUAAUGCCUAGGAAUCUGCCUGGUAGUGGGGGAUAACGUCCGGAAACGGGCGCUAAUACCGCAUACGUCCUGAGGGAGAAAGUGGGGGAUCUUCGGACCUCACGCUAUCAGAUGAGCCUAGGUCGGAUUAGCUAGUUGGUGGGGUAAAGGCCUACCAAGGCGACGAUCCGUAACUGGUCUGAGAGGAUGAGCAGUCACACUGGAACUGAGACACGGUCCAGACUCCUACGAGAGGCAGCAGUGGGGAAUAUUGGACGAUGGGCGAAAGACUGAUCCAGACAUGCCGCGUGUGUGAAGAAGGUCUUCGGAUUGUAAAACACUGUAAGUUGGGAGGAAGGGCAGUAAGUUAAUACCUUGCUGUUUUGACGUUACCAACAGAAUAAGCACCGGCUAACUUCGUG